rnacentral:lncRNA from 1 species
CACCGCGCCACCGGUGAUUAGAAUAGUGGUUUCUAGACACCGUUUCCACCGGUGACUAACAAUAGUGGUUUCUGGCACUCUGUGCAACCCAUGCCACUGGGUUACGUGGCCGUAGCCUAUCAUGUUGAGACUAUGAUAUCAGAGUUUUAUAAAAACAAAAAUGAUAUUAUUUGUGAUUUGUUUCAAACAUUAUCCUGUAUUUUGAUCUGAUAUGCUCUGACCCCACUCUGGGAUAUUUUGUUGCUUACUGGGCUAGUGUAGCUCAUUAUUCUGUUUUCUCCAUUUUUCAGAUCCAGAGGCUUGAUCGUACGGGAUUGGGGAGUGCGUUAGAGUUUCCGAUGAUUCUUCAGUUAUUGGCAUUUUAGUUAGUUUAGUUUGGACAUUUGAAUUAUGUUGGUAUAUGUUAUUUUGGAAUUUUGUAAGACCGCUUUUGAACAAUUUAAAUAAUUAUGUCAGUUUUGAAUAUCUGUGAUUGUUCCGAUAUGUUCCGAUGCCUUGCAUGCCUGUGCGGCCCGCCUUGCACGCCUGUGCGGCCCGCCGUGCGGGCGUGC